GCAGAGACUGGGAGCGCUUGGGUGAUCAGCUCUGACUGAGGCGCCGUCAAGGCUCCAGUCACAGGAAAAGGAGAUGAGGACACAGGCACACACAGAGGAACGACCAUGUGAAGACUCAGAGAGAAGACGGCCUUCUGCAAACCCAGCAGGGAGGCCCAGGAGAAACUGACAUCUCGAUUUUGGACUUCCAGCCUCCAGGAUUGUGAAAAAAUAAACUUCUGUUGUUCAAGCUGUCCGUCUGCAGGAGUUUGUCGUGGCAGCUCCAGGAGGCGUGGGAAGAGAGCUUUCCAGUGCCUCUCCCUCAUGGGGAAUUCUGCCCACCUCUCCCUCCACUGGCACUCACACUGGCAUGUUCCUCCCCAUGCCCAGGCUCCCGAUGGACCCAAGCCAGCUUGCCUGCCAAGCAAAUCAAGCUCCAUUCGAAAUUCUUAAAUUGGCGAAACCAAGUAGACUUUAAGGAGGGCCCAA
rnacentral:lncRNA from 10 species